AAACCCCCUCGCCGAAAGACUAAGGUUUCCUGAUCAACGCUAAUCGGAUCAGGGUAAGUCGGGUCCUAAGGCUCAGCCGAACGGCGAGGCCGAUGGCAGAACCGGUUAAUAUUCCGGUACUACCUGUGGGAGUGACGUGGAGACGGAGUCGUGACAGCGCCGCGGACUGACGGAAUAGUCCGUUGAAGGGUGUAGAUGCUGAUUGUUCCAGGCAAAUCCGGAGCAAGAGUCGAACCUGAUAGUAUGGAGCGUUCUUAGAACAAUCCAAUAGUGCGUGUAAUCAUACUUCCAAGAAAAUCCGCUAAACUUAAUCCUGCAGGUACCCGUACCGCAAACGGACACACGUAGUCGGGUUGAAUAUACUAAGGCGCUUGAGUGAUUCACGGUUAAGGAACUAGGCAAACUGACCCUGUAACUUCGGGAUAAAGGGUCCUCGCUUAACGGCGAGGCGCAGAGAAUAGGUCCAGGCAACUGUUUAACAAAAACACAGGGCUGUGCAAAAUUGAAAGAUGAAGUAUACAGCCUGACACCUGCCCGGUGCUGGAAGGUUAAGAGGAGAUGUCAUCGCAAGAGAAGCAUUGAAUUGAAGCCCCAGUAAACGGCGGCCGUAACUAUAACGGUCCUAAGGUAGCGAAAUUCCUUGUCGGGUAAGUUCCGACCUGCACGAAUGGUGUAAUGAUCUGGACGCUGUCUCAACCGUGAGCUCAGUGAAAUUGUAGUAUCGGUGAAGAUGCCGAUUACCCGCGAUGGGACGAAAAGACCCCGUGAACCUUUACUAUAGCUUAACAUUGAAUUUGGGUAAUUGAUGUGUAGGAUAGGCCGGAGGCUUCGAAGCAGGUACGCCAGUAUUUGUGGAGCCGCUGUUGAAAUACGGCCCUUUGAUUAUUUGAGUUCUAACCCGUUGAUGCGGGGACACUGUUUGGUGGGUAGUUUGACUGGGGUGGUCGCCUCCAAAAGUGUAACGGAGGCUUCUAAAGGUGCCCUCACGACGAUUGGUAACCGUCGGCAGAGUGUAAUGGCAUAAGGGCGCUUGACUGGGAGACUUACAAGUCGAUCAGGUAGGAAACUAGAGCAUAGUGAUCCGGUGUUUCCGUAUGGAA
rnacentral:rRNA from 1 species